GCCGACGUAGCUUAGCUCGGGAGUAGCUCAACCUGUGGGUUGGGUGUUGCUUACCGAAAGCGCGGGACUGAAGAUCCCGUUGUCGCGUGUUCAAAUCACGCCGUCGGCACCA
rnacentral:tRNA from 1 species